rnacentral:rRNA from 1 species
UACCUGCAGCUCGAGUGGUAACCGCUAUUAUUGGGCCUAAAGCGUCCGUAGCCGGUUUGGUAAAUAUCUGGGUAAAUCGUGAGGCUUAACUUCACGAACUUCGGAUAGACUGCCAGACUUGGGAUCGGGGGAGGUCAGAGGUACUCCAGGGGUAGCGGUGAAAUGUUGUAAUCCUUGGAGGACCACCGGUAGCGAAGGCGUCUGACUAGAACGAGUCCGACGGUGAGGGACGAAGCCCUGGGGCGCAAACCGGAUUAGAUACCCGGGUAGUCCAGGGUGUAAACGAUGUGGGCUUUGUAUUGGAGGUCCCACGUGGGCGUCCAGUGCAGAAGAGAAGUUGUUAAGCCCACCGCCUGGGAAGUACGGUCGCAAGGCUGAAACUUAAAGGAAUUGGCGGGGGAGCACAGCAACGGGAGGAGCGUGCGGUUU